UAAACAUGAGAGUUACUUUGCCGAGUUAACUGACGAGGACUCACCUAUUUUUUUUUUUAGUCAGUUUAGAAAGUUUUCAGUUUAGCUAGCUAACAUAGCUAACGUGACUGCUGACUAGCCAAGGGACGUUUGAGCGCGAGUGGACAAAGAUGGAGAGAUUCCAGAUUCCACCGCCACCGAAGUUUGACUUCACGUGGCCAGAAGAGUGGCCCAAAUGGAUUAAGAGGUUUGAGAGAUUCCGGAUUGCAUCAGGACUAGAGCUCCAGGCAGAAGAAAAUCAGAGAAAUCUACGCAGACAUUACAAACCUGUUUCGGACGUGCGCCAGCCGUGGAGAAUUCAAGCCUGAAGAAGAGGUGCUAGAAUUCAAGCCUGAAGAAGAGGUGCUAGCAACCCCGAACGACGUUCCUGAACAGCUUAACAGAGCCGAACCAGUGCAGACCUCUCCUUCAGUCGAACCUUCAGGGAGUGGAGGCAGCCAUUGACGCCCAAGGACAGAUCCCUACCUGCGUUCUUUGCCAGGACAUGUCGAGCAGCUCCCGGAGAAGGAGGACACCUGUUGACCGGCGCUCAAACAACCUCCAGAUCCAGACCUCGUUUAGCACAUUCAUCACAGCUGAACUGGUAUUAACUCACUCACAGAGGGAUACUGAUUUUUCAUUGUUUUUCAAUAUGUCAGAGGACAGUCAAGAUAGGUCACCCGAAUCAGGAGUGAAUCCUUAUCUCACCGCCUUAAUUACAGAAAUAAAUAAUGCUUUAUAUGAUACGUGUCAGCCUGGAGAUCCCCUACAUGAUUCAGCAGAGAGAACAACCCCGCACCGUAUUAAUCAGGCCGAAUUCCAAAAGCAAAUACGUCUGACACAGUUAACAGAGGCGUUAAACGGCUUAGCCCGGCCCGUUGAAACUGGCUUGGACGGCGAAAUACCAGGGGCCUCCUCACAAACCCCCCUUCCAAUCAGCACGGUUUCCUCCUUGAGGGGAGAAGACGAGAGACCGGGAACGUCAUCACUUCUGCGCAGUGAAUUAGAAUCACACCGUCAGAGCAGGGAUCGUGCGGGAGGGGGCACCUGUCAUGAGUGGGGCAGGGAGAAAUCUUGUUACAACAACCAGAAACAGGUUUAAUAACGUGGAAAUCCGGCAAAUGUUAAAUUUCCCUGCAACAGGUGAUACCCCAGACUUUGCUCAGUUUUAGAAUGGUGUCAUGACCACCUUUCAAAGCUCUGUUGAAAGAGCAGUAUCAUGGGGUCAUGCCGAAAUACGUCGUCCUGGGUAUGGUGAACCACAAUGCUUUCAGCGGAAAAAGGGAUUUAUCCCCGUUUAACUUCCUAAACUAUGACGUGGAAUAUCUGGCUCUAAGCCAAAAUGGGAGACAGGUGCCUUCUAAACCCUUCCAACUGCAAUUUAACAACGGGAUCUCUGUCAGAGAGUUUUAUAAUUUGUACACAGCCACAGGGAGCCAUUUGAAGGAUCUUCCUCUCUGUAUAACUUGUGACGAUUUCCCGCUGGGAUACGCCAUGUAUGCCUUUAACCUGAGUCCGGAGGAGGAUACGGGGCACUGUCACCAGUUUCUACUGGCAGUCUAAGGCUGGAAAUGCGUUUCAGAGUGGCGACCCCACAUACGAUAACGCUAGUGGUCUACACGUGCUACGACUCCAUUCUGGAAAUUAACUCCAAACGUCAAGUGUUGGUCGAUUUUUACUGAAUCAUGGACACUCUCGAGUUGGAGGCCGUGAUGAGGCGUUUAGCAGGAAACAUUUUCGGAGGAGUGUGGGCCUGUGAUUAAUUAGAUCGCAUCAAAGCGAAACCACCUGCUUUUUUCAUAGUAAAUACCUACCCGAGGCAUUUGCCCCAAGGCUAAGCGCCUUGGGGCAACUGUUUGUUGUGAUUUGGCGCUAUAUAAAUAAAAUUGAUUUGAUUUGAUUUGAUUUACCGGGUGAACACUGGCUGGCGAUCACUGUUGAAAAAGAUGGUGGAGCUACGUUUUUUGAUUCCUUCGGAUUUAGCCCGGAUUUCAACCUGUACCCCAAAGGUAUCCUACAGUAUUUGGAAAAUCAACGCGGGAUUACAAAGAUUUUCUAUCAUAACAGACAGCUACAACAUGAAAUGUCAGAUGUGUCGGGCAACACUGUCUUUUAUUUAUCUAAAAGAGCCUGUGGGCUGUCCUACAAAGAUGUACUGUCUUUAUACACCCGCAACACUGUUAAGAACGACGAUAUGGUUUUUGAAUUUGUGAAGGAAUAUCAGCAAUGUACCAGAACAGGCUGUAAGAGCUUGUGUAACCAGUGUUCAUGUUGUUUUCAUGCGUUUAAAACCUGUUACAAUUUACACUGAAUGAAAUCGCUGUAGACUGUUACUUUUGUAAAGAUUUUUAUUGUGGUGAUAAACAUGCUGUAUAACAACAAAUUACCCCUUGAUGCUGAUGUGGGCUGGCUUUGAUUAGAGUUUUAAGAAGGUCGGCAUUCCUUUUUUAAAGUGAGCUCAUGGUCUCCUGCUGGAUUUUGCAAUAUAAACAGCUGGCCACUGAUUUUGCAACAACCCCGUUCUCAGUCUAAACCGAUCUGGGAAGUUUUGUGUACAGUCCAGGAAUAAAUAUCCGUAUGGUUCGCUUGGUUGCGUCUUCUAAGCUGUCCAAAAAAUAUUGUUGUUUUUUUUGAGGGGAACAUUUGUUGAGCUAAAAUAUUCAUCUGCAGCUUAUCACUUGGGUUUUUAAAGAGCACCAUAUAGCUUGUGUUGAGACUGAUUGUUCUGCUGUAUUUCCCCUGAUGAAACACAUUCUGAGUUAUUAAAAUUAUUGACAUAUUCCUAUGGUGUCUGUACUGUGUAAAUACUCUCACAACUCCGGGGUCAUCAGCUGCCUGAAAAAUGAGAU